UACACGCACCGAAGCAAUUAAGAGUUUGGUUUUGAAAUUUUAGAGAGAGAAAAGAGUACAGAGAGUAACCAAAAAAAGUUUUUCAGGGUUUUUAAUCAUGUCUUCUUUGCACAAGGGGAAGAAGAAGGUGAUUCAAGACAAAGGAAGAUUGCAGAGUAUUGUUAAACAAACUUUUCAGAAGAAGAAGAACAGCUUCAACCUGGUAUCUGCAACUAAAUCUGGAGAACAUUCAGUCGAAAAAGAAGCGAUUCGUUCACUAAUUUCAAGAAGAAGCGCUCAGAGUUCUUCAAACCUGAAUGAGAUUGAAUUGGAGGAGAUCUUGAGGCCUCUUUUGUAUUUGAUGGAAAUUUUAUUCUAGGAGGAAUACAAUUCACUGUUGGUGUCAAGGUGAUGAAGACAAGUUUGGUUUAUGAGUUUCUUAAUGGAGCUAGAGUAUGAGUUUCUUAAUGGAGCUAGUUCCGUUAUUACUGUGUUGGCGAUUCCGAUUCCGAUUCCGAAAUCAUAAUAGAAAACGUUUUUUUUGUUUCUUUUAUAAGGGUAUGUUGUUUGGCUUUGUUUGUCAAUAGCCUCUGGGUCUUGUUUGUAAGUCUUUUCCCUUUUCUUUAAUGGAAAAAGUAGAGUAUUGUUCAUAUUUUCUGUUAUCGAUUUCUCACUCAAACCUUUAACAAAUUCGAGAAUUACAUUUCAGAUUCUUAAUCAGCAACUCGUAAUCUAUCUUUACCACCUUAGUAGUUCUCUAGAAAAUUUGUCAUCGAGGGUUUGCCCUGAUUUGGGUUUUAACAAGAAUUCAGUGUUUCAUUGUGAAUCAUCUACAAACAGCUAAGUAUGAUUUUGGUAAACGCUACUAUGAAGCAUAAUCUUCAAUUCAUCGAGGUUCUCGGUGAUUAUCAUCGAGGUCUUGAACUAGUAGUUGUAGGGUUUUGUAUGGUGUUUUUAGACUCUAUGAAAUGGCUGGAACCUGUUGAAAUUUGGGUGUGCCAAACUUAGACAGUUGCUUGUUUGGGAGUGGCGGUCCGAGAAACAGCAAGGGUAUCAUUUGAUGAUCCCAACCCAGUGGAUUACUAUCAGAUAGAGCUGAAAUGUAUUUGUUAUCAUUUCUCCUAAUAUGUGUAAGCCGGAGCAGGCCAAAAUGUUACAAAUGAUCAGUCAUCUCUGAUAAUGAAUUCAGAUUCACCAUUCUUCAAGGUCUGCAUAAGUCACUGAACCAACCACCACAGUUGGAUGGAUGGAAACUGAAUGGAGGGGAUCGCUGUGGGGAGUCAUGGAAAGGGAUCUCAUGCUCUGGAUCCUCAUGUAAUACUAACAACUCUUUCAUUUUAAUUAUGCGGUGACUGUGCUUUUGGCUUUUGGAAGACCACUCACUGACUUCUUCCCUACUGACACUAUCCCAACUGAUCAAAAUGUCGAGAACUUCCCAAAAGCACAGUCAAAUGCCAUUGAGAACUAUCCUUCUCCCAGAGAAGGUAAACAGAAGCCAAAAAGAUGGACUCCUGAAGCAAUAUCCCAACCUGCGCAGGCAGCGUAGCAGCCCUCCUUGCAAUCCAAAUCAAAAGAUCCCGUCUUUGCAAGCUUGAAAACUUGGAGAACAACCAUAACGGAUAUCAUACUCCAGUCAGUACAGCCACAGCAAGAGACAGAAGAUUUUAACAGAAGAAGACAAAGCAGAAAUCAACCAGUUGCUAAAACGUACACUUUGUCAAAGCUACAGUUGGCUACAGACAGCUUCUGCAAAGAUAAUCUUCUAGGAGAGGGCUCCAUUGGUUCUGUCUACAAGGCCCAGUUCACUGAUGGCCAGAUUUUUGCUGCAAGGGUUGUUGAUACAGUAGCAUUAUCUCUUGACGAGGAGGAACAUUUCUUCAAUAUUAUUCAGAAUGUUGCUCGUCUUAGACUCCCAAAUAUUGUGACACUCACUGGCUAUUGUAUUGAAAACGGGCAACAUAUUCUUGUUUACGAGUAUGUCAAAAAUUGGUCACUUGAGAAUGAACUUCACUACAACGACUUCCAUGGCAUGUUCGCUUGAAUAUUGCACUUGGUAUUGCCCGGGCCCUGGAUUACUUACACUCUACAAAUUCCCCUCCUGUUGCUCACAACAACUUGAAGGCUGCAAACAUCUUGCUUGAUGAUGAAAUACUACUAAGCUUAAGGC